CUCCACACUGUGACUCCAACUCUGAACAUCAGGCAUACAUGGGUCCCGGUCCACACUCCGCCGCCCGGACAGUGUCUGGGUCCCGGGCACCGGACCACUCACCCUGACACAGAGGAAUUCAAGAUAAUUCUGCGAAACUUAGUGAGUUGGAAUUGUGAUAUACACUGAUCAGCCACAACAUUAAAACGCUAAUAUUGUGUACGUCUUCUUCC